CUGAGCCCCACCCUAUGUGUUACUUCUCCUGUCCUUUGUCCCAUACCCCUCUGCUCCAGUCAGGACUGUGGCUUAGUUUUCAGGGCCCUUUCCCUGAUGUCUGCCCUGAGGCUCCCAAGUGAGGUGGCUGAGAAGGAUCUGCAGACUGUUUCCUGUGCCACUUAGGACAGGUUUCCGGCCUCAGCAGCCAAUCUAUUCAUCUAGGAAUGUUUCAAACCUAACUCCUUUAAAAUCUACUGUGAUCCGCACUUCACCUGGAUGUCUGCCAGCUAUUAUGAUUGACUUCAAGGCUCUUGGAAGAUUGGAAAAGGACAAAAAGACCCAGUAACAUGUUUGGACUUGAAAAUCAGAACAAGCAGGCAAUCUGUAGAGCUAUCUUGGAAAUAAGCUAUGAAAAGAUAACAUCCCCACCUUGUGAUCUUGGCAGAACCCUUCCUACACUGUACAGAGAUACACAUAAUUCCACCUGAACUUCUGAGAAGUAGAAAG
rnacentral:lncRNA from 1 species